GCCGUGGUGGCGGAACUGGUAGACGCGCUAGCUUGAGGGGCUAGUGUCCGUUCUAGGACAUGGGAGUUCGAGUCUCCCCCACGGCACCA
rnacentral:tRNA from 3 species